UAUAAAUCAAAAUUCUGCCAUGGAUCUCAUGGGUCUGAAAUCUACAUCUUGGCAGGACUUUGUUCUCUCCUGGAACUUCUAGUGCUGUGGUGACUUUGAUCAGCCUUGCACAGGGGCAGCCUGACAGCCUGACAACACUUCACCUCCAGGCCUGUCCGUGCCUCCUGCCCUGGGGCUCCUCUGAAACUGGCAGCUGGUUUCCCCAGGACACACUCGGCACUCAGUGUCCUUCAGUAAAAGAGGAGUUUCCCCUUGAGAAGGUGAAUUUUUCAAAUGAUCUUCAGGAGUGGAAGGAAUAAAGCCCACCCCUCACCACACCACCCAACAGG